CCUACGGGAGGCAGCAGUGGGGAAUAUUGCACAAUGGGCGCAAGCCUGAUGCAGCGACGCCGCGUGAGGGAUGACGGCCUUCGGGUUGUAAACCUCUUUCAGUAGGGAAGAAGCGAAAGUGACGGUACCUGCAGAAGAAGCGCCGGCUAACUACGUGCCAGCAGCCGCGGUAAUACGUAGGGCGCAAGCGUUAUCCGGAAUUAUUGGGCGUAAAGAGCUCGUAGGCGGUUUGUCGCGUCUGCCGUGAAAGUCCGGGGCUCAACUCCGGAUCUGCGGUGGGUACGGGCAGACUAGAGUGAUGUAGGGGAGACUGGAAUUCCUGGUGUAGCGGUGAAAUGCGCAGAUAUCAGGAGGAACACCGAUGGCGAAGGCAGGUCUCUGGGCAUUAACUGACGCUGAGGAGCGAAAGCAUGGGGAGCGAACAGGAUUAGAUACCCUGGUAGUCCAUGCCGUAAACGUUGGGCACUAGGUGUGGGGGACAUUCCACGUUUUCCGCGCCGUAGCUAACGCAUUAAGUGCCCCGCCUGGGGAGUACGGCCGCAAGGCUAAAACUCAAAGAGUAGUGGCGNGNGAGAGCGACGACGACGACGACGGAGGAGGAGG
rnacentral:rRNA from 1 species